CUGAAUCUAUCACGCAGCCUAUGCAAUUACUGGAUCUGAUAAAUAUAUCCAGAGCACUCCCAGUGAUUACGAUGCCAUCAGGAAAAUCUACCGCUCUGAUAAAUUCUCAUCUGCUUGUUUGAAAUUUUCUAAUAAGCAUGACAACGAAACAUUCAAAGAGUUGAUAGCUGAUUACAUUAAACACCAUAAAAAUCGUCCCUGCCCCUUCCAGUCUGGGAACCUGGAAAUCCAUCACUGUCACCUCAGUGAGUUUCUGUAAAAAUGAACACCCUCCAAGCCGAUCGAACAGCAUUCGGGAAAACAUCUUUCUGAGGGGGCAAGAAAAUGACAUGAGUAUUGAAGAGUAAUCAGAUACUCUUCCCCCAAUAUAAAUAAAUUUAUCCCUGAACCUAUAGUUAUGUUAACCAAUGAAUAGGUAGUCUCACAUCUAAUGUUACAAUUAAAGUAAUGUUACCAAGUGAAUGAUAAAAAAUCAAAUACAUGAGGACUGCACCUUCUGAUUUGCUUAAUUUUCACUAAUAAACAAGUGAAUGAAAUCAAGCAUGCAAUCUGCUUAAUCUUUUAAUAGAACACAAAGAACAGAAACAUCCAAACAGAAAUGAUUUACUGAGGCAGGA